AAAAAAAAUGGAAAGUAAUUGAAGAAAAUGAAAGGGAAGAAAAAAAGAAAAAGAAAAACAGAAUAUAGGGACAGGUGUGUGUAAAACAUUGGUUUUAGCAUCCAGCCGCUUUCAUGAAUUUGUCGUAGGGGCUUGAAGGUGGUAAUCUAAAAGCAGUAUGUCCAUACUCAACUGAACAUAGGGCAAGUUGGUCAGGUACUCCAUUUUGAUCGUUACUGUUUAACUUCGAAUCACUUUGUAGUAACUCCACUUUCUGGAACAGAGGCCAAAAAAGGGAAUAAUUGACAACUAUUUUUGGUGUUGUGAAGUAUGACAAUUGUACUAUCACUGAAUUUAUAAUAUUAAUAUCAAUAUUAAUAUAGCCAGUCAAUUUUAAACAGUCUCCAGAUUCUUGAAAUGUUAACAAUACUUUCCACCAAAACAAAAGAAGAAACAAAGGAAAUGAACUUAAAUAGUAGAUCACCAUUCUAGAUCUUACAAACCACAUCAUGUAGUGAUGACAAAGGUCACGGAGCAUUCAAAAAGCAUUCUAGGGCUAGGUCUCUCAGAGUCUAGACUCUAGGCUCCAGUUUGUCAAUAUGUUGCCUGAUAUUUUCUUGUUUCUGACAUUCCUACUUUCUAGUCUCUUUUUGAAAAGGCCACAUGAAUGGCAUGUAUUCUUUGAUCCAGCUUUUAGGGCUGAGAUUUUGAGGUUACAUGCAUAAUCAAAGGACAGAAUUCCAGGAUGUGUAAACAACCCUUCAAUGUCUCAUAUGCUCCCCCCAAAAAACCCUAAAAUGUUUUGUUGCCUGCUGAAAUGGCAACAAAUCCAGUAUAAAAUGUACAAAAAUGACCAAACAUGUAAAUUUUCAGUUGCAGCUACAUUAUUGCAUAAAGACCAGAGAAAUGAUGUGACAAUUUAUUUGUGUGUGGGAACUGGGGAGAAAGCAGGAACAAGAGGAAAAAUGAUUUCACCAAAUCAGCAUGUUCAUUUAGUAAUUAUACUCGCCACAUAAAGUGCUUAAGUCGUUUAAUAAAUAAAGUCACCUGAUUAAAUGAUGAAGUGCCUUUCUUUUCAUCUCUAGUGGGGAAAACCUUGGCAUCGUGUUGAUGCUUAAGACUCUGAAGCAUUGACAUCUUCUGUUGUUUACCUGUCACAAGAGCUUCACACUGACUUUUCAUUUGGUCAUAAGGUAUAGGCGUGGAGGAAAUCUGGGAGCUUGCAACUUCUUGUGCAGUUUCCAAGACCUGUAGGUAUUAAAAAAAAUCGAUAUAAUUUGCAAAUGUGAAACAGAGAAAGACAUGCACCAAAAAAAUAAAAACAGUUUUUAAAAAAUUCUGCAUAUAUUGUUAUUGUCUACACAACCAAAAGCAUUUAUUUAAAGGCUGCAUGUGGCAACUAGAAAAGGAUAAAAUGUGCUUUUGUUUGAAAAACAACCUGGUUUUAUCUCAUGAUCUUUAGUGUGCCUUUGUCUCCUCCAACUGCCACAAUCUUCACCAAUUAAUAUUUGGCCAAACACUGUUUGGCUCUUGAUGUAAGAGCUAGCCAGACUUUUCAUUAGGUUUUGUUUUUUGUUUUUUGUUUUCUUUAUAGAGUCAGUGCUGGAGUAAUUGAAAUAUAAGAAAGAUUACACGUGUGCCAUAUCAGCACCAAGUACGCAAGAUUGUCAGUUUUAGCGAUUACAUGGGCAAGACAUUAUGUCAUCUUAUGUGUGUGAAAUGAUCAAUCUCUAUCUCCAAAGAUUUUUUCUCAAAUUCUAAAUAUUGAAAUGAUAAUUAAAAAGGUAAAUUACAACUCCCCAGAGGUUUCACAAAAUACACAAUUAUAUCCCUACAUAAAAAAAUAAAAAAAUAAA
rnacentral:misc_RNA from 1 species